CAGCCUACGGGAGGCAGCAGUGGGGAAUAUUGCACAAUGGGGGAAACCCUGAUGCAGCAACGCCGCGUGAGUGGAGAAGUCAUUCGUGAUGUAAAGCUCUAUCAGCAGGGAAGAAAAUGACGGUGCCUGAGUAAGAAGCCCCGGCUAACUAAGUGCCAGCAGCCGCGGUAAUACGUAGGGGGCGAGCGUUAUCCGGAUUUACUGGGUGUAAAGGGAGCGCAGGCGGCAUGGCAAGCCUGAUGUGAAAGCCCGCGGCCCAACCGCGGGACUGAAUUGGGAACUACCGGGCGGGAGUGCCGGAGAGG
rnacentral:rRNA from 1 species